rnacentral:lncRNA from 1 species
AUGCCGUGGCUGGGAGCUGUCCCCGAUGGGUCGGUCCCCACUGCUCGCCUGGCGGUGCUGCCAUCGGGGCGGGCAGUGGGGGCACCCAGCGCUGGCAGCAGGGUCAAUGGGGACAGCGGGGACGUGCCCGAUGCCACCUCCGGGGGGCUGCUGGAUGGGGACACCCCCUCUGCCGUCCCCGCGGUGGCACUGCUGUCCUGCGGGAUGCCUGCCCGCGGUACCCCAGGGGUGCUGAGUGUCCUGGGCACCCCUGAAGCAGCUGGGGUGGCACUGGAGCUGCCAUCCCAUGCCAUGGUGGCGGUGUCGCUGCUGGUUGGCGAUGCUGUGCCCAGCUCUGCUGCACUAAUUGGAGUUUUGCUAAUGAGGGCAGCUGGCCGGGUCCCGGUGCCAUACUCCUGGAGGGAAGGCGUCGUCUUUGCUCCAUCCACGAGGGACAGGGACGUGGCCACGCUGGGGCUGGCCGGAGGGGAUCUGUCCCCAUCCACCUGUGCCGCGGGGAUGCUGGGGACUGGAGAGGAGAGCCCAGGGGAGAGGCCACCCCCAGGGGGUGACACAGCAGGGGCCGUGCUGGGGACCUGCCCCGUGUCCCUUGGUGUGGCCUCGGUGUGCAGGGCAGCAGCGGCCACCAGCUCAGCCUUUGCCGGGGCUGGAAAUGGCACGGUGGGGACGUGCUCUGUGUUGGUGACAUCCAGUGCCAUGGCUGGCGGUCCCGGGGCCGGUGUGGUGGCACGGGGACGGGUGGCAGGAUUGGAUCCGAGCAGCCCAGCUCCAGUUGGUGUCCCUGGCUCCGCAGCCUCGCUGACACCAGCAGUGGCAGGAGGAAAGGUGCUCGCUGCUGAGGAUGCUCCCGGGGGGGCUGCAGGCCAUGGGAUCCUGGAUCCUUCAGUGGCUGUGCGGAGGGGACCCCCGCUGGCUGCUGGAGCAGUGGGGUCGGUGACAGGGCCACCCAGGGCUGCUGGUGGCUCCACGGAGCGGAUUGUGUCCCCAGGGGAGGCCGGCGAGACACUGGCUGCCGUGGCAGGAGGCGAGGUGGCCGCGUCCAGCUCCGGGGUGGCCUUUUGGGACAGGAGCACGGUGGUUGCGUGCGGCUCAGCGGGGCUCUCGCUGAUGCGGGGGGGCGAUGUCCCCGUGCUGUGUGAGGCAGGAGAUGGCACGGUGCUCCACGCUGUCCCCAGCGUCCCCUCUGCAGUGACAGCGCUGCGGGGCUGCGCCAACUCACGGGCAUCGCUCGCUUUGCUCGUGGCUGAGGAAGGUGCUUUUGUCCCCAGCUCUAGUUGA